rnacentral:rRNA from 1 species
AACAAACGCUGGCGGCGUGCCUAAUACAUGCAAGUCGAACGGGGAAAGUAGCAAUAUGAGUACUAGUGGCGCACGGGUGAGUAACGCGUGGGUAAUCUUCCUUGAAGCGUGGGAUAACCAGUCGAAAGAUUGGCUAAUACCACAUAAGACCACAGGAUCUGCGGAUCUAGGGGUCAAAGGUUUUUCGCUUUAAGAUGAGCCCGCGUAGGAUUAGCUAGUUGGUAGGGUAACGGCCUACCAAGGCAACGAUCUUUAACUGGUCUUAGAGGAUGAUCAGUCACACUGGAACUGAGACACGGUCCAGACUCCUACGGGAGGCAGCAGUAGGGAACAUUGCACAAUGGAGGAAACUCUGAUGCAGCGACGCCGCGUGAGUGAUGAAGGACUUCGGUUCGUAAAGCUCUGUUGCAAGGGAAAAAGCAAGUGAUUGUACCUUGCGAGAAAAGGGUCGGCUAAACUUCGUGCCAGCAGCCGCGGUAAU